CAAACCCCGAAACAAUCUCAUCGCGAGUUUCCUUCGAGUCUCUCUGCGUAUACAGCGAAUCUCUGAUCGCGAUCAAUCUCGAAGGAGCGAACGGAACCGGCGAAGAAGGGGUGUGGGUUGCGCGCGAGACAGACGAUUUGUCAUUUGCGAUCGGUCCGCGCCGACUAUCAAACGGCUAUCAGGGAUCCCGGGUGUCCGAUCGUGGUGCGCAAGAGUACCCGCGUCCUCACCGAGAGAAGAACCGAUCGGCGGGGAUUGGCGAACGAUCGGGACAGGGAUCGACUGGUCGACCGGCCUGUCAGUGACGCGCCGGGGUUGCGAGAGCUGCGUUACGUCUUCUUUCCUAUCAGGGAUCGAGGUCGAGGUCGCCGCUGAGGUCGCGGUCGAGGCGAGGUUGAAGGUCAGCCAACCUACGCGCUGCACGAGGUUCGCGGUGGAAAGAGAAGCCUCGUCGGUAAAAAGAACUUUGGCGAAAGAAGUGCUACACGUAAAAAUACAUAGCGGAAGAAGCUUAUUUCCGAAGGAAGUGCCUAAGAUGCGUGCUCUCCAGUGUUGCGUUUGGUUCGCGCUGCUAAUGGCAGUGUCGGCCGUGCCGGCGUCGUCGAAAGGACGUCCGGACGAUCCGAUCAGAGGGAAAAAGACCACGCCGAUCCCGCCAAUCAGCGGCAACAAGAUCACCUCGCCGAUUACCGCAACGACGUCGCGACCGAACGCCACGCUGCCGUAUGCGAGAAACGCCACGUUGCAUUUAUCGUCGCCUUCCUUCUCGCCGCUUUCCUCGACAAGAGCGUCGUCCGCGACGACGGCGGCGGCGACGGCCGUCACAUCCCCCACGACGAUGCUCAAGCUGCCGUCGAUCUCGCCGUCGACGACAACGACGACGACGACAAGGGCGACGACGAGGACGACGACGAGGACAUCGAUCGCGACAUCGGCGUCGACGGCGAGUCUCGCAUCAAACGCGACACCCCAGGGCGAUCCGCAGGGCGACGGUAGAACGGCCGUCCCCGCCUUCACCGAGACCUCCCCGAGGAUAAUCUCGCCGACUCAACAUACCGCCGCCACCGUGCUGUCGUCGAGAAAAUCAGCAGCCUCCGCCACCGCGGCGGCGGCGGCGGCGGCCGCCUCCGCCUCCGUUGAUGUCACGACCACCGCACCACUGACGUCGGCCAAGGAGACGCGAGAGUCGCCCGGAAAGAUCCGACCGCAAAUCAAGCUGACGACAAAUUACACGAGCGAGACAGGAGUACGAUUGCCGGAGGGGGCAAGCGCGGCUCUCGCGAAACCAACAAAGUAUCACUACUAUCCGCACAAUCAGCAUAUCUACCUGCUGCCGGAGUGCGCGGUUCAGCAAGUGUGCAAUGCUGUUUAUGUCAGAUUGAACUUCACGCAACCGUUGUGCGCUUGUCCCGGAAGGUACCGGGACCCUUGCAGCGCAUCCUUAGAUAGCGAUGACCUGCACACGACCGAGCUGGUCACCGAUCCACGAACCAAGGCCUUGACCUUAGUGAAAACGUGCGAGCCGGUUGCCGAGAUGCGAGAAUGCAGAGGAUCAAGAGACUGGUCCUUAUUGGCACUACAGAACGUGCGUACAGGAAAAUCUCAUUAUCUUGUGAUAUGCCGAUGUCCCGAUACAAACAUACUCGAGGGGCCUAUGAGUCACGAUCAACCAACGUACGCGAGCGUUCCGGGCAUUCGAGUGUACGGAAUGAUGUGCGUGCAAGGAAACAGAAGAGGACGACCGCUGCGAUAUGCGCGCAGUAUUUUCGACGGACAUAUAAGGGGUGAGGAGGAGAAACCGCGCUUCCCUUGGCACAAAGUGCGACAGCUCAUGACAACGCCGUCUCUCUGGGAAUAGCUUCGACACGCGAUGUCCCACUCCACAUCUGCCAUCGACGAAUUUACACGUUAAUUUAUAAUGCUAUAUUUAUAAUUUUCCGAGCCAUUCAGACCACCCUUUGCUCUCUUCACUUCCCGCGUCUUUCUCACGCUUCCUUGAUUCUCGGAAUGAGCGCGCGCAGGGAUGCGAGUGAUCCGAACGAUUGAUAUCAAUUAAUUCCGUCCUAUUCCCCUGUUUCUCAUUAAAACGCUUAUUAAAUUGUUUUAGCGUCGCCGUGCGCGGUGACGAUUAGAAAGAGGAAGAUUGAUUUCGAAAAUGCACGCCGGCACAUUCGUUGCGCGAGAGUUACGAUGCGAUACGAUGAAAUCGUCUACGCGGCUUGUACUAUCAUCUUUAAUUAUUCAUCUUAAUUAUUCAUUCGAUACGAUGAAGAAGACAAACGGCUUUGUCGUUUAUACAACAAUGUAAAGAGCUGUUUGAUCGUGUGUGAUUUUAAGAAAGAAAUAAGGAUAGGAAUAUAUAUGGUACCUGAGUCUCUGACACACGCACACAUCAUCCUACAUCAAGUUUUUCUCUCAUUACUCUCGAGUAAGAAAUUGACAUACAUUUGUCAAAUUACUGUACGUAUAUCGCACUCGCGCUUACUUUUCUCAAUUCACUAGAAUUCAAUUUGUAGACGACCAGUGUAAGAUAAUUUUUUUUUUAGGCCACACUUUUGUGACUGCGAGAUUUGAGGAGAAAAUUAGCGAUAUAUAUGUUCAAUCGCAUUUAACGAUAUAUAUAUAUAUAUACGAGAUGCAUCUCUCAUUAUUAUACGAAAUGCAGUACAAUGACGAGAACGACUGAUCGGUAGUAUUAUUUA